CUUUACGACAGUCUUCUAUUGAUUAUGGUUCUCUUUUGUUUCUCAGCAGGACUGCUUGUUGAGAUUUGAGGAGGGAAGUGUCUUACUCGAGAGCCUGGCUAGAGAAGACUGAGGGUCAAGGCUUGAAGCCUGAGUGAUUGCCCCAGGAUUGUGGAUGAUGGCUGCAGAGAUCCCCAGAGUGACCACUCCGCUGAGCCCAUUGGUCCAGGUGCCUCAAGAGGAAGAUAGACAGGAGGAGGAGGUCACCACCAUGAUCCUGGAGGAUGACUCCUGGGUGCAGGAAGCUGUACUGCAGGAGGAUGGCCCUGAGUCUGAGCCCUUUCCCCAGAGUGCCAGCAAGGGCAGCCCCCAGGAGGAGGCAACCGGGGGACCGCAGGGUGCGCUCGGCCGCCUCCGAGAGCUCUGUCGGCGCUGGCUGAGGCCAGAGGUACACACCAAGGAGCAGAUGUUGACCGUGCUGCCAAAGGAAAUUCAGGCUUGGCUGCAAGAGCAUCGGCCUGAAAGCAGUGAGGAGGCGGUGGCCCUGGUGGAAGACUUGACCCAGACCCUUCGGGACAGUGGUGAGAUGCAGAACCUCAUAGGGAGAGGGCGGGAGGUGGAGGAGUGUGGUGUUUCACAGGAGGAUACCGUGGUGUUCAAGACAGAGUGGGGGCCAGCGCCAUCCCUCUGCUCUGUCUGCAGGUAGUCAGCGUGUUCGUCGGCCUUUUAGUGUCCUCACUAUGUGCAGUGUCAGCUCCUGAACUGCAGUAGGGGAGGGGCUUAGAGCUACAUUUGCAUAGUAAGCAGUUUUUACUUCUGUGUUUAUUUGGAGUGGUUGGGAAGCUGACGGAAGUUAUCAUGGGGAGGAGCUGGAGACCCAUACGAACCACCCCCUGGCACCUUCACUAGGUCGUGCAAGAAACACCCAAAUCUUUCCUGCAAUUAGAGAAAACAAUCUGAUGUUUUCAACAUGAUUUUUUUUUUGAGACUCUAUGUCGCUCUGUCGCC